ensembl:miRNA
GUGCAGGUGCGGGUGCGGGCGUGUGAGUGUGUGUCGCUCAGGUCCACGCUCAUGCACACACCCACAUGCCUGCACUC